AUUGAACGCUGGCGGCAGGCCUAACACAUGCAAGUCGAGCGAGCGGAGGACGGGUGAGUAAUGUCUGGGAAACUGCCUGAUGGAGGGGGAUAACUACUGGAAACGGUAGCUAAUACCGCAUACCAUCAGAUGUGCCCAGGUGGGAUUAGCUAGUAGGUGGGGUAACGGCUAACCUAGGCGCCGAUCCCUAGCUGGUCUGAGAGGAUGAGCAGCAACCCGGGAACUGAGACAGGGCCAAGACCCCUACGGGGGGCAGCAGUGGGUAAUAUUGCACAAUGGGCGCAAGCCUGAUGCAGCCAUGCCGCGUGUGUGAAGAAGGCCUUCGGGUGGUAAAGCACUUUCAGCGGGGAGGCGUUACCCGCAGAAGAAGCACCGGCUAACUCCGUGCCAGCAGCCGCGGUAAUUC
rnacentral:rRNA from 1 species